GGAUGUGAGGGCGAUCUGGCAGCAACAUCUGUGACCCCACUGAUCGCCAGGGUUGAUUAGACUGAUCUGGCUGGCUAGGCGGGUGUCCCCUUCCUCCCUCACCGCUCCAUGUGCGUCCCUCCUGAAGCUGUGUGCUCGGUGGUCAAAGAGGACGGCCUUCCCCAAAUAGAGAAUGACUGGUCGAGGGUAUGAAAGUAGCUGAGCUCCCCUGCUAGAACCUCCAAACAAACUCUCAAGGUCCAAAUAGAUUGAGCAAUUUUGCCAAAAUAACCCAUGAGACAUUUCUUCUUCCACAUUUCCAGAAUGAAG
ensembl:misc_RNA 7SK 7SK RNA